UAAAGCAAAACAAGGGCGUAUGGUGGAUGCCUAGGGUCUGAGAGGCGAAGAAGGACGUGGUAAGCUGCGAAAAGCUACGGGGAGCUGCACACGAGCGUUAUAUCCGUAGAUAUCCGAAUGGGACAACCCGCCGCAUUGAAGAUGCGGCACUCGAAAGAGAGCCAACCCGCUGAACUGAAACAUCUAAGUAGGCGGAGGAAAAGAAAACAACAGUGAUUCCCUGAGUAGUGGCGAGCGAAAAGGGAAUAGCCCAAACCGGGUCGGCGUGCCGACGCGGGGUUAUAGGACUGCGAUUAGAAAGUGUUAUCAAAUCGAACCCUUUGGAAAGAGGGGCCAUAGCAGGUGAAAGCCCUGUAGAUAGAAAUUAACAUGGACGAGCAGGAUCCUGAGUAAUGCGGGACCGGAGGAAUCUUGCAUGAAUUUGCCAGCACCAUCUGGUAAGGCUAAAUACUCCUCAGACACCGAUAGUGAACCAGUACCGUAAGGGAAAGGUGAAAAGCACCCCGAACAGGGGAGUGAAAUAGUACCUGAAACCGUGCGCCUACAAGCGGUCGGAGCCAUUAGUGGUGACGGCGUGCCUUUUGCAUAAUGAGCCUACGAGUUACUCCUGACUGGCGAGGUUAAGUUCUUAAAUAACGGAGCCGAAGCGAAAGCGAGUCCGAAUAGGGCGGAUAGUCAGUCGGGGUAGACGCGAAACUUUGUGAUCUAUCCAUGGGCAGGUUGAAGUUCUGGUAACACAGAAUGGAGGACCGAACCCGUUGACGUUGAAAAGUCUUGGGAUGACCUGUGGAUAGGGGUGAAAGGCCAAUCAAACUGAGAGAUAGCUCGUUCUCCCCGAAAUGUUUUUAGGAACAGCCUCGGAUAUAGAAGUUUACUAGAGGUAGAGCUACUGAUUGGGCUAGGGGGCUUCAYCGCCUACCAAACCCUGACAAACUCCGAAUGCUAGUAAAUAUCUCCGGGAGUGAGGCUGCGGGCGCUAAGGUCCGUGGCCGAGAGGGAAAUAACCCAGAUUAGCAACUAAGGUCCCUAAUACAUGGUUAAGUUGAACAAACGAGGUGGGAUUUCAAUAACAGCCAGGAUGUUGGCUUGGAAGCAGCCAUUCAUUUAAAGAGUGCGUAACAGCUCACUGGUCGAGAGAUCCUGCACGGAAAAUAAUCGGGCAUCAAACCAUGAACCGAAGUUCUAAGAUCCAGCAAUGGAUCGGUAGGGGAGCAUUCAAAUCAGCGUUGAAGGUGUGCGGCGACGCAUGCUGGAGCGAUUUGAAAAGAAAAUGUAGGCAUAAGUAACGAUAAGUAAAGUGAAAAACUUUACCGCGAAAAGUCUAAGGUUUCCUGAUCAACGUUAAUCGGAUCAGGGUUAGUCUGGUCCUUAGGAAAACCCGAAAGGGGCAUCUGAUGGAAAGAGGGUUAAUAUUCCCUCACCUGCCAUACAAUAAAAGUGACGCAGGGRCGUGGUGGUUGCGUACGUACGGAAGUGUACGCUGAGCUAAGUCUUCGGACGAGGCGAAACCAUAAAAUCCCUGCCAAGAAAAGCGAGUAAGGCAGCCAGUACCGCAAACCGACACAGGUAGACGGGAUGAGUAUUCUAACGCGCUCGGGUGAGCCGUGGAGAAGGAACUAGGCAAAUUGACGCUGUAACUUCGGGAUAAAGCGUACCAUAGCGAUAUGGUCACAGUAAAAUGGUUCAACCAACUGUUUAACAAAAACACAGGGCCCUGCAAAAUCGUAAGAUGACGUAUAGAGCCUGAAACCUGCCCGGUGCUGGAAGGUUAAGGAAGGGUGUUCGUAGCAAUACAAAGCUCCUGACUGAAGCCCCAGUAAACGGCGGCCGUAACUAUAACGGUCCUAAGGUAGCGAAAUUCCUUGUCGGGUAAGUUCCGACCUGCACGAAUGGUCUAAUGAGUUGAACACUGUCUCCUCCACGAGCCCGGUGAAAUUGUAGUAUCGGUGAAGAUGCCGGUU
rnacentral:rRNA from 1 species